UGGCUCAAUUGCUACGUCAAGAAUAGAGCUGUCAAACCGACCCAUGUUACUCGUGUGAUGUUGCAUUCUCUGCCUCUAUCUCUGUCUCAGGCAAGAGGAGGAGUGAACAAGCAAUCAAAUGAGCAAAUGAAGAAAGUUAAGGCUGGUGAGUUGAUGAUUGAACCAAGAAAUCAGCAUUUUGCUCACUCAAAACAGGAAAAAUCCUCAGUUUCUGCUAAACCUGUAGAUGAAGAUCUCUACAAGAUCCCUCCCGAGCUACUUCCAAAUUCUAAACGAAAAAAAAUGAUGGGGUUGUUCUUCAAAUGCAUGGUACCUCCUUGUGCAGAUUGACUCAAGCCCAAGUAAUUUUUAUUGAAUGGAGAAAUUUAGACUCAACUACAAAAAGGUCGUAUCGUCUCGUCUCUACAGUUUGCAUAGAAUGACUUGAGUAUGUAUGAAUAUCAAAAGAAUUUAUUACAAUCACAUUUCAUUCAUCAUUGAAUCUUGGUACCACAAAUUUAGCUAAGUAAAUUGUGCAAAGGCGGGGCCAAUGUAGGUAAAGAGGCCUUUCUAGGUUGAGUUACAAUUUAUGAGAAACUGGUCCACAAUUGUCAA